CCGAGAGGACUGUGUUGUCUUACCAGGUAGCUGAGAGCACUGGCCAGUUCCAUGGUGUACCGAGAGGACUGUGUUGUCUUACCAGGUAGCUGAGAGCACUGGCCAGUUCCAUGGUGUACCGAGAGGACUGUGUUGUCUUACCAGGUAGCUGAGAGCACUGGCCAGUUCCAUGGUGUACCGAGAGGACUGUGUUGUCUUACCAGGUAGCUGAGAGCACUGGCCAGUUCCAUGGUGUACCGAGAGGACUGUGUUGUCUUACCAGGUAGCUGAGAGCACUGGCCAGUUCCAUGGUGUACCGAGAGGACUGUGUUGUCUUACCAGGUAGCUGAGAGCACUGGCCAGUUCCAUGGUGUACCGAGAGGACUGUGUUGUCUUACC